GCAGCGCCUCGGCGGCAGGAGGGAGCCUCCCGGGAGCCACACGCAAAACAAAACAAGGGCAAGGUGUUGCUUUUCUCGUCAUACCACCCUCUGCUAGCGGGUGAAUCCCAUCGGUUGCAUCCUUCUCUGCAGAAGCAGGCCUGACUCCCUCUCCGGCAGGCUGGUGUCCCGCUGCUGACUUCUGAACCAGAAUAUCUGCAUUUUGGACAUGAAUGGAAAGAUAAACAAAUCUUCAAGAUGGAAGCUGAAAAAAUCAAGGGGAUGAG